rnacentral:rRNA from 1 species
UGAACCUGCGGAAGGAUCAUUACCGAGUUGAUUCGAGCUCCGGCUCGACUCUCCCACCCAAUGUGUACCUACCUCUGUUGCUUUGGCGGGCCGCGGUCCUCCGCACCGGCGCCCUUCGGGGGGCUGGCCAGCGCCCGCCAGAGGACCAUAAAACUCCAGUCAGUGAACUUCGCAGUCUGAAAAACAAGUUAAUAAACUAAAACUUUCAACAACGGAUCUCUUGGUUCUGGCAUCGAUGAAGAACGCAGCGAAAUGCGAUAAGUAAUGUGAAUUGCAGAAUUCAGUGAAUCAUCGAAUCUUUGAACGCACAUUGCGCCCCUUGGUAUUCCGAGGGGCAUGCCUGUUCGAGCGUCAUUUCAACCCUCAAGCUCUGCUUGGUAUUGGGCCUCGUCCUCCACGGACGCGCCUUAAAGACCUCGGCGGUGGCGUCUUGCCUCAAGCGUAGUAGAAAACACCUCGCUUUGGAGCGCACGGCGUCGCCCGCCGGACGAACCUUUGAAUUAUUUCUCAAGGUUGACCUCGGAUCAGGUAGGGAUACCCGCUGAACUUAAGCAUAUCAAUAAGC